AGAGUUUGAUCAUGGCUCAGAUUGAACGCUGGCGGCUUGGCUAACAUGUGCAAGUCGAACGGUAACAGGAAACAGCUUGCUGUUUCGCUGACGAGUGGCGGACGGGUGAGUAAUGUCUGGGAAACUGCCUGAUGGAGGGAUAACUACUGGAAACGGUAGCUAAUACCGCAUAACGUCGCAAGACCAAAGAGGGGGACCCUCGGGCCUCUUGCCAUCGGAUGUGCCCAGAUGGGAUUAGCUUGUUGGUGGGGUAACGGCUCACCAAGGCGACGAUCCCUAGCUGGUCUGAGAGGAUGACCAGCCACACUGGAACUGAGGGUACGGUCCAGACUCUACGGGAGGCAGCAGUGAAUAUUGCACAAUGGGCGCAAGCCUGAUGCAGCCAUGCCGCGUGUAUGAAGAAGGCCUCGUUUUAAAAGUACUUUCAGCGGGAGGAAGGAGUAAAGUUAAUCACCUUUGCUCAUUGACGUUACCGCAGAAGAAGCACACAACUCCGUGCCAGCAGCCGCGGUAAUACGGAGGGUGCAAGCGUUAAUCGGAAUUACUGGGCGUAAAGCGCACGCAGGCGGUUUGUUAAGUCAGAUGUGAAAUCCCGGGCUCAACCUGGGAACUGCAUCUGAUACUGGCAGCUUGAGUCUCGUAGAGGUAGAAUCAGGUGUAGCGGUGUGAAAUGCGUAGAGAUCUGGAGGAAUACCGGUGGCGAAGGCGGCCCUCUGGACGAAGACUGAUGCGCUCAGGUGCGAAAGCGUGGGGAGCAAACAGGAUUAGAUACCCUGGUAGUCCACGCCGUAAACGAUGUCGACUUGGAGGUUGUGCCCUUCGAGGCGUGGCUUCCGGAGCUAACGCGUUAAGUCGACCGCCUGGGGAGUACGGCCGCAAGGUUAAAACUCAAAUGAAUUGACGGGGGCCCGCACAAGCGGUGGAGCAUGUGGUUAAUUCGAUGCAACGCGAAGAACCUUACCUGGUCUUGACAUCCACGGAAGUUUUCGAGAUGAGAAUGUGCCCUUCGGGAACCGUGAGACAGGUGCUGCAUGGCUGUCGUCAGCUCGUGUUGUGAAAUGUUGGGGUUAAGUCCGCAACGAGCGCAACCCUUAGUCCUUUGUUGCCAGCGGUCCGGCCGGGAACUCAAAGGAGACUGCCAGUGAUAAACUGGAGGAAGGUGGGGAUGACGUCAGGUCAUCAUGGCCCUUGACGACCAGGGCUACACACGUGCCCCAUUGGCGCUUACAAAGAGAAGCGACCUCGCGAGAGCAAGCGGACCUCAUAAAGUGCGUCGUGGUCCGGAUUGGAGUCUGCAACUCGACUCCAUGAAGUCGGAAUCGCUAGUAAUCGUGGAUCAGAAUGCCACGGUAAAUACGUUCCGGGCCUUGUACACCGCGCCCGUCACACCAUGGGAGUGGGUUGCCAAAAGAAGUAGGUAGCUUACAACCUUCGGGGGGCGCUUACCACCUUUGUGAUUCAUGACUGGGGGUGAAGUCGUAACAAGGUAACCGUAGGGGCCUGCGGUUG
rnacentral:rRNA from 1 species